rnacentral:rRNA from 1 species
UACGUAGGGGCAAGCGUUGUCCGGAUUUAUUGGGCGUAAAGAGCGUGUAGGCGGUUUGGUAGGUCCGUUGUGAAAACUCGAGGCUCAACCUCGAGACGCCGAUGGAAACCAUCAGACUAGAGUCCGGAAGAGGAGAGUGGAAUUCCUGGUGUAGCGGUGAAAUGCGCAGAUAUCAGGAGGAACACCGGUGGCGAAGGCGGGUCUCUGGGCCGUAACUGACGCUGGAGGAGCGAAAGCGUGGGGAGCGAAACAGG